GAGACAAGCAUAUGACUACUGGCAGGAUCAACCAGGUAGCAUUCCAUGUCGACUUUUUGGAACCGCAUGGACGAAUCCAAAACAGCACCAAUUGUCGUUCGCAAGUAGCGUGGGACGCUUUUUAAGGGGCAAAUAAAGAUCGACGAUGUCUCGUACCCACGAGGUACUCCAUGACCGAGAGGACAAACUCGAUGCCACAUAUCCAACAACCCAAGAACAUUGAAGCCAUGAUGGGUAGUUGGAGCAUGGCAUUUGCUUCGAAGUUCACCUCGUGCCACAAACCCAGGGGCUCGCAGCAAAAGGCGAAAGGGUCUCAUUAAUCCGACGAAUUCCCACUCUUUGGGUAUAGAACACAGGAAACCGAGCUYGGCCAAAGACGUAUUUCGCACUCUUGAACCAAUAUUAUUGAAAAGGCAUGUCGGAUACAUUUUCGCUGCGCAAGCAAGGAAAAAACAUAACCAAACACACCAAUCACCACUCACGCGCUC
rnacentral:misc_RNA from 1 species